AGGGGGUUUGAUCAUGGGCUCAGGACGAACGCUGGCGGCGUGCCUAAUACAUGCAAGUCGAGCGGUCCCUUCGGGGAUAGCGGCGGACGGGUGAGUAACACGUAGGCAACCUGCCUGUAAGAUCGGGAUAACUACCGGAAACGGUAGCUAAGACCGAAUAGCUGGUUUCCCCGCAUGGGGGAAUCAUGAAACACGGGGUAACCUGUGGCUUACAGAUGGGCCUGCGGCGCAUUAGCUAGUUGGUGGGGUAACGGCUCACCAAGGCGACGAUGCGUAGCCGACCUGAGAGGGUGAUCGGCCACACUGGGACUGAGACACGGCCCAGACUCCUACGGGAGGCAGCAGUAGGGAAUCUUCCGCAAUGGACGAAAGUCUGACGGAAGCAACGCCGCGUGAGUGAUGAAGGUUUUCGGAUCGUAAAGCUCUGUUGCCAGGGAAGAAUGUCGUGGGGAGUAACUGCCCUGCGAAUGACGGUACCUGAGAAGAAAGCCCCGGCUUAACUACGUGCCAGCAGCCGCCGGUAAUACGUAGGGGGCAAGCGUUGUCCGGAAUUAUUGGGCUUAAAGCGCGCGCAGGCGGNUCUUUUUAAUUCUGGGUGUUUNAANCCCCGGGGCUCAACCCCGGUUUCGCACUGGAAACUUGGGAA
rnacentral:rRNA from 1 species